UGAGGAAUAUUCGGCAAUGGGGGCAACCCUGACCGAGCAACGCCGCGUGGAGGAUGACGGUUUUCGGAUUGUAAACUCCUUUUCUGCGGGAAGAGGCAGGACGGUACCGCAGGAAUAAGUCACGGCUAACUACGUGCCAGCAGCCGCGGUAAUACGUAGGUGGCAAGCGUUAUCCGGAAUUACUGGGCGUAAAGCGCACGCAGGUGGCAUGUUAAGUCUGACGUGAAAGCUCCUGGCUUAACUGGGAGAGGUCGUUGGAGACUGGCAGGCUUGAGGUAAGGAGAGGGGUGCAGAAUUCCCGGUGUAGUGGUGGAAUGCGUAGAUAUCGGGAGGAAUGCCAGUGGCGAAAGCGGCACCCUGGCCUUGGCCUGACGCUCAGGUGCGAAAGCGUGGGGAGCGAACGGGAUUAGAUACCCCGGUAGUCCACGCUGUAAACGAUGAACACUAGGUGUAGGAGGUGUUAAAACCAUCUGCGCCGAAGCCAACGCGAUAAGUGUUCCGCCU
rnacentral:rRNA from 1 species